UUUAUGAGUGGCCGAAAUCAAAACGAUAUUUUGUUCUUAAAUUAAAAUCGAACCGAUUUGGUGCUAGAAACCGAGCCGACCGAAUCCCGAUCUUCCCUCCAAUAUCUUAGCUCAGCUCAGCCCCGCGCCCCCGCGUCUCUACUUUUUGUCUCUGCAUCUCAAAGUUUGAAACUGAAAUGAGAAAUUUCUAUCUGGUCUCUUACCCUCAGCUUCUUCCCUCCCCUCUUCAUCUAGAUUCUCUCCCCAAAGUGUUGGAAGAAGGGACUGUGGCGGAGGCGAAGGAUAGAGAGAGAAAUCGAAGCGACUUGCGUUGGCAUUCGGUUGCGCAGCUGUGACCGAGAGUUGCACGGUGAGUGAAGUCUUUGAGAUUUAGGGUUAGGGUUUCGGGGGCUGGAGGGCUGGGCUUAAUGGGAUUGGGCUCAACCCUUAAAUGAUGCAAUCAUGUGAAAUAAACAUUAUCAAAUGAAACUUACAAGACGAUGCAAUCAUGUGGUAGCGACUUCUGUUUUCAAGGUCUACAGCUGAUUAUUUCCAUCAGAGCAACACCGAAGCUAUACACAUCACUUUUCUCAGUCAGCCUGUUUGAUUUAUAGUACCUGAGAUACGAGCGGUAACCAAAAGUGCCAGCAACAACGGUGGACAUGUAGGUGUUGUUGCCUUCUGUCGGGAAGCUUUUGGACAAACCAAAAUCUGCAAGUUUGGCUUGGAAAUUCUCUGUCAAUAAGAUGUUGGUUGUUUUCACAUCUCUGUGGACUAUGGGCGGCUUGCAACCAUCAUGCAGGUUGGGAAUAAGAGGCCCGUACCAAAGAUUCCCAUUAUAGGUGAUGUUGAAUCCUCUGGUUUGAUUGGCUUUGAGAUCUUCAA